CGAACGAACUCUGGUAUUGAUUGGUGCUUGCAUCAUGAUUUACAUUUGAGUGAGUGGCGAACUGGUGAGUAACACGUGGGAAACCUGCCCAGAAGCGGGGGAUAACACCUGGAAACAGAUGCUAAUACCGCAUAACAACUUGGACCGCAUGGUCCGAGUUUGAAAGAUGGCUUCGGCUAUCACUUUUGGAUGGUCCCGCGGCGUAUUAGCUAGAUGGUGRGGUAACGGCUCACCAUGGCAAUGAUACGUAGCCGACCUGAGAGGGUAAUCGGCCACAUUGGGACUGAGACACGGCCCAAACUCCUACGGGAGGCAGCAGUAGGGAAUCUUCCACAAUGGACGAAAGUCUGAUGGAGCAACGCCGCGUGAGUGAAGAAGGGUUUCGGCUCGUAAAACUCUGUUGUUAAAGAAGAACAUAUCUGAGAGUAACUGUUCAGGUAUUGACGGUAUUUAACCAGAAAGCCACGGCUAACUACGUGCCAGCAGCCGCGGUAAUACGUAGGUGGCAAGCGUUGUCCGGAUUUAUUGGGCGUAAAGCGAGCGCAGGCGGUUUUUUAAGUCUGAUGUGAAAGCCUUCGGCUCAACCGAAGAAGUGCAUCGGAAACUGGGAAACUUGAGUGCAGAAGAGGACAGUGGAACUCCAUGUGUAGCGGUGAAAUGCGUAGAUAUAUGGAAGAACACCAGUGGCGAAGGCGGCUGUCUGGUCUGUAACUGACGCUGAGGCUCGAAAGUAUGGGUAGCAAACAGGAUUAGAUACCCUGGUAGUCCAUACCGUAAACGAUGAAUGCUAAGUGUUGGAGGGUUUCCGCCCUUCAGUGCUGCAGCUAACGCAUUAAGCAUUCCGCCUGGGGAGUACGGCCGCAAGGCUGAAACUCAAAGGAAUUGACGGGGGCCCGCACAAGCGGUGGAGCAUGUGGUUUAAUUCGAAGCUACGCGAAGAACCUUACCAGGUCUUGACAUACUAUGCAAAUCUAAGAGAUUAGACGUUCCCUUCGGGGACAUGGAUACAGGUGGUGCAUGGUUGUCGUCAGCUCGUGUCGUGAGAUGUUGGGUUAAGUCCCGCAACGAGCGCAACCCUUAUUAUCAGUUGCCAGCAUUAAGUUGGGCACUCUGGUGAGACUGCCGGUGACAAACCGGAGGAAGGUGGGGAUGACGUCAAAUCAUCAUGCCCCUUAUGACCUGGGCUACACACGUGCUACAAUGGAUGGUACAACGAGUUGCGAACUCGCGAGAGUAAGCUAAUCUCUUAAAGCCAUUCUCAGUUCGGAUUGUAGGCUGCAACUCGCCUACAUGAAGUCGGAAUCGCUAGUAAUCGCGGAUCAGC
rnacentral:rRNA from 1 species